AGAAUCAACGCUGGCGGCGUGCCUCAGACAUGCAAGUCGAACGCGAAAGUUUCCUUCGGGAAACAAGUAGAGUGGCGCACGGGUGAGUAACACGUAGGUAAUCUACCUUUGGAUGGGGAAUAACAACCGGAAACGGUUGCUAAUACCGCAUAAUGCAGCGGCACCUAAUGGUGACAGUUGUUAAAGCGGGGGAUCGAAAGACCUCGCGUCUAAAGAGGAGCCUGCGGCGGAUUAGCUAGUUGGUAAGGUAACGGCUUACCAAGGCUACGAUCCGUA
rnacentral:rRNA from 1 species